CCAGCAUUAGUUGGGUACCCUAAGAGAACUGCGUGAUAAGCCGAGAAGGUGUGGACGACGUCAAGUCAUCAUGGCUUACGGGUUGGGCUACACACGUGCUACAAUGGCAUCUACAGUGAGUUAAUCUCCAAAAGUGUCUCAGUUCGGAUUGGGGUCUGCAACUCGACCCCAUGAAGUUGGAAUCGCUAGUAAUCGCGGAACAGCAUGCCGCGGUGAAUACGUUCCCGGGCCUU
rnacentral:rRNA from 1 species